CUGAGUUAGGGUCUUGAUGGCCCGACCUCCAACCCUGUGUUUAUUAUACCAUGUUGCUUUGGCAGGCCUGCCUUUUGGGGCUGCCGGGGGCACUCCUGCCCUUGGCCCGUGCCUGCCAGGAGCCCUCCUUAAAUUCUGUGUGAAACUGUGCUGUCUGAGUCCCCAUAUUAAAUCAUACA
rnacentral:misc_RNA from 1 species